UAAGGCUGAGCGUAGGUGUGUUUGUUGCCCAGCUGCAGCCCAGCACUGGCAGGGACCGGCAGUAAAGCUUCAGCUUCAGAGCAGCUCCCAAGGGAAAGGAAGGGCAGGCCCUCAUGUCUUGCUUUCUUCACAACAGCUCUGAUCGACAAAGGAGCUGGCUUUGGACUCCGCCAGGUAAACUUUCCUGUGACCAACCAAAUGCCUGCAAUACCAGGAUGCUGUGGCUAGUAACUUUGUGCAUAGCGGUUCUGUGCCAGAAAUCUGUGCCAUUGUCAUGGCCUCACACUAUAACAUAACGUGAGAAUCUCUGUUGCUGCCACUCGUUGCUUACUCCAAAGCUACUUUUGCUCCUUUGGCAUUGCUCAAGGCUUAUGUUUGCCUUGAGGUCUUGAUUAACAUUGCUUGUAUUUUCUUGAAUAGCUUUCCAGAAAGCCCAGAUCCACCUUCCUUCGGCAGCCAGCGACAUGACCAAGCUUUGAGCCUGAAGCAACCCAGCCGUCCCCCUUCUUGCAUGUAUUGGAGGAGCAAGAACAUGACCCAUCUGGCUACUGCUGAUGCCUCAGAACAACACAGGAGGGUGGUGGUCUUAGUAACUGCAGCUUUUAUGGGUUUGGACCAACAGUCAGCAUUGAAAAUAAACCAGAUUUAGGACAGUGGAUCACCACUAAGCUAUUCAGGGACAUUCUUCCAUUGUGAAGACUGAACCUGUUCUGCUGAGGGCUCCCAGGCUGGAUUUGGUCCAUGGGUGCUUCCAUCAAAUCCACUACUUUUUGUUCUUGAAAGGCUUCCUACUCCCUCUCUCCCAUGCUUUGGAACAUCUCCUGUGCCUGACAGAGCCUUGUCACUGUGCCUGUGCUAGGCUUUGAUAACUAAGAGCCAUAAUGUCCACCAUGGCUCUUCAGUGCAUCUGCAGCAAGGAAAAAAGGAAGGUGUACCCCAUACAAAAUAAAGUCCUGAUGAAAAACCAAGCAAAAGAGGAAAAUUUAACCGUCUGGCCCCAACGCACGAGGCUCAUCAGGUGCUGUGGCAGUCACACUUGUUCUUUACUUUUCAGUUUUGUUUUGUUUUUUUAAUAGAAGAGGGUCUUCUUUUCAGUAAUCUCAACUUUCCACAAAAGUCAGCCUGCUGUCAAGCAAAACUUACACUUUCUGAGAUGGUUAGUAGGGUCAGCAACCACCAAACCCAGUUCUGACGUAGUUUUCAGCCACCCCCCUGGUUGUACUAGCAGGAAGUCCCAGAUUGAAAGCUUCUUUUGCAGACCAGCCAAGUCUGGCACUAAAUCACUCCAGCCUUACCUAGUGGGUGGGAGAUUACGGCUACCCAGAGUUAGUAACAAAGUCCUAUCCCUUUGCUAGGGUGACCAUUCCUACAAGCACUGCAGAAUUUGGAGUCACUGUAGCUAAAACUCUGCUUUGUCAGCAAAGUCUGUGCAAAUUUAAGCCCAUGAUUCACAGGGAAAUCUGUUCAGAAAUCUCUGGCUUGCUUUUGAACUACUUUGAGUCUCUGUUCUUGUUGGGUUCAUGGUGGAAGAGAAUUUUAAUAGCUGUCUUUAGAGACCUUGAUUUCUUCACUGCAUACCAACCAGUCUUUACAUUCACCUGUUCAUUUCUCUCUGGAGAGCUUCUUUCUUGUCAGCUGUGUGUUAGUCCAGUCUUUGCUAUAGGCGAGCCAGUUAAGGCCAGGGCCAUCGAACAUCAAUUAGUCAAACAAACAUACAUUUAAGGAGAUGUUCACACCACCUAAGGUAAAGCACCUUUCUUGGACAGUGUUUCAGCUGGACACUCUGGGGACUACACAGGGAGCCUGGGAGAGGUGACUGAAGCACCCUGUUCUGUGUAGUUAUGCAGAUAAAACAGUUUGGUUAAUAUUC